UCCGUAGGGACCAAGCGUUGUUCGGAUUUACUGGGCGUAAAGGGCGCGUAGGCGGCAUGACAAGUCACUUGUGAAAUCUCCGGGCUUAACUCGGAACGGCCAAGUGAUACUGUCGCGCUAGAGUGCGGAAGGGGCAAUCAGAAUUCUUGGUGUAGCGGUGAAAUGCGUAGAUAUCAAGAGGAAUACCUGAGGUGAAGACGGGUUGCUAGGCCGACACUGACGCUGAGUGCGCGAAAGCCAGGGGAGCAAACGGG
rnacentral:rRNA from 1 species